UGAGUACACGUAUCCAACCUGCCGUCUACUCUUGGACAGCCUUCUGAAAGGAAGAUUAAUACAAGAUGGCAUCAUGAGUCCGCAUGUUCACAUGAUUAAAGGUAUUCCGGUAGACGAUGGGGAUGCGUUCCAUUAGAUAGUAGGCGGGGUAACGGCCCACCUAGUCUUCGAUGGAUAGGGGUUCUGAGAGGAAGGUCCCCCACAUUGGAACUGAGACACGGUCCAA
rnacentral:rRNA from 1 species